GCACUAUACGGUGAAACUGCGAAUGGCUCAUUAAAUCAGUUAUCGUUUAUUUGAUAGUACCUUACUACUUGGAUAACCGUGGUAAUUCUAGAGCUAAUACAUGCUAAAAACCCCGACUUCGGGAGGGGUGUAUUUAUUAGAUAAAAAACCAAUGCCCUUCGGGGCUCUUUGGUGAUUCAUAAUAACUAAACGAAUCGCAUGGCCUUGCGCCGGCGAUGGUUCAUUCAAAUUUCUGCCCUAUCAACUUUCGAUGGUAGGAUAGUGGCCUACCAUGGUUUCAACGGGUAACGGGGAAUUAGGGUUCUAUUCCGGAGAGGGAGCCUGAGAAACGGCUACCACAUCCAAGGAAGGCAGCAGGCGCGCAAAUUACCCAAUCCCAAUACGGGGAGGUAGUGACAAUAAAUACUGAUACAGGGCUCUUAUGGGUCUUGUAAUCGGAAUGAGUACAAUUUAAAUCUCUUAACGAGGAACAAUUGGAGGGCAAGUCUGGUGCCAGCAGCCGCGGUAAUUCCAGCUCCAAUAGCGUAUAUUAAAGUUGUUGCAGUUAAAAAGCUCGUAGUUGAACCUUGGGUCUGGCUGGUCGGUCCGCCUCACCGCGUGUACUGAUCCGGCCGGGCCUUUCCUUCUGGCUAGCCGCAUGCCCUUCACUGGGUGUGUUGGCGAACCAGGACUUUUACUUUGAAAAAAUUAGAGUGUUCAAAGCAGGCCUUUGCUCGAAUACAUUAGCAUGGAAUAAUAGAAUAGGACGUGCGGUCCUAUUUUGUUGGUUUCUAGGACCGCCGUAAUGAUUAAUAGGGAUAGUCGGGGGUAUCAGUAUUCAAUUGUCAGAGGUGAAAUUCUUGGAUUUAUUGAAGACUAACUACUGCGAAAGCAUUUACCAAGGAUGUUUUCAUUAAUCAGUGAACGAAAGUUAGGGGAUCGAAGACGAUCAGAUACCGUCGUAGUCUUAACCGUAAACUAUGCCGACUAGGGAUCGGGCGAUGUUAUUUUUUUGACUCGCUCGGCACCUUACGAGAAAUCAAAGUC
rnacentral:rRNA from 1 species